GACGAACGCUGGCGGCGUGCUUAACACAUGCAAGUCGAACGGAAAGGCCCUGCUUUUGUGGGGUGCUCGAGUGGCGAACGGGUGAGUAACACGUGAGUAACCUGCCCUUGACUUUGGGAUAACUUCAGGAAACUGGGGCUAAUACCGGAUAGGAGCUCCUGCUGCAUGGUGGGGGUUGGAAAGUUUCGGCGGUUGGGGAUGGACUCGCGGCUUAUCAGCUUGUUGGUGGGGUAGUGGCUUAUCAAGGCUUUAACGGGUAGCCGGCCUGAGAGGGUGACCGGCCACAUUGGGACUGAGAUACGGCCCAGACUCCUACGGGAGGCAGCAGUGGGGAAUAUUGCACAAUGGGCGGAAGCCUGAUGCAGCAACGCCGCGUGCGGGAUGACGGCCUUCGGGUUGUAAACCGCUUUCGCCUGUGACGAAGCGUGAGUGACGGUAAUGGGUAAAGAAGCACCGGCUAACUACGUG
rnacentral:rRNA from 1 species